CAGAGCCGCGGGAAUACAGAGGGUGCAAGCGUUAAUCGGAAUUACUGGGCGUAAAGCGCGCGUAGGUGGUUUGUUAAGUUGGAUGUGAAAGCCCCGGGCUCAACCUGGGAACUGCAUCCAAAACUGGCAAGCUAGAGUACGGUAGAGGGUGGUGGAAUUUCCUGUGUAGCGGUGAAAUGCGUAGAUAUAGGAAGGAACACCAGUGGCGAAGGCGACCACCUGGACUGAUACUGACACUGAGGUGCGAAAGCGUGGGGAGCAAACAGGAUUAGAUACCCCCGUAGUCCCUGUCUCUUAUACA
rnacentral:rRNA from 1 species